rnacentral:rRNA from 1 species
UGCGUAGGCGGCCUUAUAAGUCAGAUGUGAAAGCUCCCAGCUUAACUGGGAAAUUGCAUUUGAUACUGUAGGGCUUGAAUCACGUUGAGGUUAGCGGAAUGUGACAUGUAGCGGUGAAAUGCAUAGAUAUGUCAUAGAACACCAAUUGCGUAGGCAGCUAACUAGGCGUGUAUUGACGCUGAGGCACGAAAGCGUGGGGAGCGAACAGGAUUAGAUACCCUGGUAGUCC